rnacentral:lncRNA from 1 species
AUGUGCUUAACUUAUGGCCUAGAGUGACCAAGAUUUUACUUCGUAAGAAAUGGGAUCAAUUGUUUAAGCUACGCAAGGAUCUUGAAGACUCAUAUAUCCCUUUGAUAAGAGCAAGAAAGAAAGCUAAAGAUGAGAGAUUGAGUAACAAGGGAAGUGAUGAUUAUGUGUUGGCAUAUGUUGAUACUUUGUUGGAUUUGGAAUUACCAGAGGAGAAAAGGAAACUUGAUGAAGCUGAAAUAGUCACUUUGGCCUCUGAGUUCAUCAAUGCUGGUACUGAUACAACCUCCACUGCUUUACAGUGGGUAAUGGCAAAUUUGGUGAAAUACUCUCAUAUUCAAGAUAGAUUAUUGGUUGAAAUCAAAGGUGUUGUGGGAGAUAGUGUU